rnacentral:rRNA from 1 species
UAGGGAAUAUUGGUAAUGUGCGAAAGCGCGAACCAGCAACGCCGCGUGCACGAUGAAGGCCUUCGGGUCGUAAAGUGCUUUUAGAGAGGAUGAGGAAGGACAGUACUUUCUGAAUAAGCCUCGGCUAACUGCGUGCCAGCAGCCGCGGUAAAACGUAGGAGGCGAGCGUUAUUCGGAUUUACUGGGCGUAAAGCGCGUGCAGGCGGCUCGAUAAGUUGGAUGUGAAAGCUCCCGGCUUAACUGGGAGAGGUCGUUCAAUACUGUCGGACUAGAGGAUGAGAGAGGGAGGUGGAAUUCCGAGUGUAGUGGUGGAAUGCGUAGAUAUGCGGAGGAACACCAGUGGCGAAAGCGGCCUCCUGGCUCAUAUCUGACGCUCAGACACGAAAGCUAAGGUAGCAAGCG